rnacentral:lncRNA from 1 species
GCAGAACUGUGGAUAAAAAGGAAUUUGAAGUUGGAGAGUUGCUUUGGAGACUUCAGUGAUUAAAAGUUUCCAGAUGUGGCUGAAGGCAAACAGUAAUUGCCCGGUUUAAUGGAAGAUGGUUAAGCCUGUGUUGGACAUCUGCUGUCUUUGCCGCCCUAGUCUGCAUUUCCCAGUAUUCUGCCAGCAGAAACGUAUUCGGUGCUCACACAUCAAUCCCUGGCUUCCCAGCGUCCCUCAGCAAACAUCCCCUUCUCCUGAUGCAAAAUAACCUCUCUCCUAUUGUUAUUAUCCCACAUGGUUCUAUUACUCAAUGCAGAGUGGCAUUGAGCAAAUUCACUCCAAGGUGAAUUUCAGAAAACUAUCCUUCCAAGAUUGUUGCCAUUGCUGUGAAGUGUUUCCACCUGCUCUGGGGCCAUGGAAGAGAAAACUUCCAAGUAUCUUUAUGUUAACUGAUUUUUCCAGUGGACCACAAUUCACAGAAAAACCUGCUUAUGGGCCAAGCCUGGAGAACAAUCAAUGGGACAAGGAGGAGAAAACUUACCUCUAUUUAAUCAGCUCCACGUUUCUGACAAAUGUGAAGAGCAACUGUGAAUACAGCUCGGCUGCUUAAUUCCAGACUGUUUUAUGUUGGAGCAUCACUCUUCUCUCCAAAACUUUGUCAAGAUCGUUUUACCAAGAGCACUUGCUGGAAAGCCUUUUUGGAGAAAAAGGCAAAUAACGUAUUCUGUGAGGCAGUAAAGCAGCCACUUAGAGACACAGUACUUUGAUUAUACUCUUUGAAAGACAGAGAGAAUUAGAUUUUAACAACUAUUCCAAAUCUCUCACCUAAGGGGUAGAAUUAUAAAAGAGCUCCGCAUCACCCUUGUUAUUACUACAUAUUUGGACAAGGGAAAAAUUCAAAAUAAAGUUAUUUAUAAAAAAUGCUCAUUUUUUCAUAAGGCUGUGCAAUAUGUGAUUUGUUAGCACAAAUUGGAGUGUGGAGGGCAUGUGUGUUGAAUUUGGCCUGAGGGAUCCUCCUAAUGGUUUAGGCAACAGAUGAGUGUCCCUACAUUCACUAGUUUCCUUAAAUAAACCACGGAAGCUUUAGAGGAAAGGUUUCUUUUAUUUUUUCUUUCCAAUUUGUAUUUUAGGGUCAGGGGUUCUUGU